rnacentral:rRNA from 1 species
AUUGAACGCUGGCGGCAUGCCUUACACAUGCAAGUCGAACGGCAGCACGGGAGCAAUCCUGGUGGCGAGUGGCGAACGGGUGAGUAAAGUAUCGGAACGUGCCCAGUCGUGGGGAUAACGUAGCGAAAGUUACGCUAAUACCGCAUACGAUCUAUGGAUGAAAGCGGGGGAUCGCAAGACCUCGCGCGAUUGGAGCGGCCGAUAUCAGACUAGGUAGUUGGUGGGGUAAAGGCUCACCAAGCCGACGAUCUGUAGCCGGUGUGAGAGGACGACCAGCCACACUGGGACUGAGACACGGCCCAGACUCCUACGGGAGGCAGCAGUGGGGAAUUUUGGACAAUGGGCGCAAGCCUGAUCCAGCCAUGCCGCGUGCAGGAUGAAGGCCUUCGGGUUGUAAACUGCUUUUGUACGGAACGAAAAGGUUUGACUUAAUACGUUGGACUCAUGACGGUACCGUAAGAAUAAGCACCGGCUAACUACGUGCCAGCCGCCGCCGUAA